rnacentral:rRNA from 1 species
UACGUAGGUGGCGAGCGUUGUCCGGAAUUACUGGGUGUAAAGGGCGUGUAGGCGGGAAUGCAAGUCAGAUGUGAAAUGCCGAGGCUUAACUUCGGAGCUGCAUCUGAAACUGUGUUUCUUGAGUGUCGGAGAGGAAAGUGGAAUUCCCAGUGUAGCGGUGAAAUGCGUAGAUAUUGGGAGGAACACCAGUGGCGAAGGCGACUUUCUGGACGAUAACUGACGCUGAGGCGCGAAAGCGUGGGGAGCAAACAGG